UAAGAUACUAUUAAUCUGUGUUUUGUUUUUAGAGAUCUGUGUAAAUUUAUGAUUAACAACCGAAAUUACAAUACUUGAACAAAUGUUAAUUUUUGACAAAAUUACGCUGCAUCUUCCAUAUAAUGGUUCAACUAAAUCUAGUAAGUUUCACAUCAUCAUUUUCAAUAUUUAGGUUUUAAAAAGGUAAGGAAAGGUUUUUUUACCUGAGUUUUAAUAUCUCAAACCAUUAAUUAACAGAGUUUGAUAAAAUAAAUAAAAUAAUUUCUGUAUAUGAAAAAUAUAUAGAAUUUGUUAAGUAUACAGGUUUUGACCUGGGCUUCUGUGAAUGGAUUGUGGAUGGUAUUAAAACUAGUUUAUCUUUUAAAAUAAAAUCCUUUAAAAGGACAUAUACAGUAGGUGUAACGUGAUUUGGAAUGAAUACACACUUGCAGGAUUUUUCACAUAAAUCUCAUCUGGUACCUCCAUGUCAACUUGUUCAAGACUUAAAAUUUCAAAUGGUAACAUAGAGGGCCGCCGAGAGUCUUCGCGCCGCCCGGGACAGAAUCCUUGAGUGAAGGAUCUUUUUUUUUUUAGAUACAUUUCUUUUCUUGGCGCCCCUCGGACAUCUGCCGCCCGGGACAAACUGUCCCUUUCGCCCCACCCUCUCGGCGGCACUGAUUUCCUGUAGGAUGCCUGUUAGAAAAACUGAAGAACUGAAAGAAGAAACUUUUAAACUUGAUGUUGGGAACUGUAGAAGUUACUGUUAUACAUAGUAUCAUAUCAAGGCUCCAGUUCUCUAUGCUUGUUAGUUAUAUGCAAGAUAUGGCAUAGUAUAGCACACUGCAUGUGUAAAAAUGGAUGAAAGCACUAAAGAAGCAAAACGAUACAAAUUAAAGAAGAAUUUUGUCAUGCGAUCACGGUUGCAAUAUGAGAACUACCGUAACAGAAUAUAUUUAUUGUCGAACAGUUUUGAAUCAAUUCAUUGUAUGAUGAUAGUUUUUUGUUGCUUAAAAAUAUUAUGAAAUUCAAA